CAAAGAAUUCAGUGAUGGAAAUUAGGAAGACCUUGGACUUAAUAGGCUCUGUGCAUGCGAUUGGCUAAGGGUACAAUGGGCCUUUGAUGAUUGCGGUAAGAACACGGAGCGCGUCUCCAGUUGGCAUGGAGCUUUUCUUCUUGUCGCUAAGGUAAACGGAGCAUCGUGAUGUCUGUGGGGGCGGGUAAUGAGGCACAAAGGUCUGGUCCAUCAGGACUGGAAGGAGGUGAGAAAAUGGCCCUGACACUCCUUGUCUGAAGACACUGUGAAUAGAGUCUUUGCCCACAGUAUCCAGCCCUCCUGUGCAAGCAGGCUCCCGGCCAGACGCUCUUGAAAGCAGAUACCAAUUCGUGCGGACUCUCUUUCCUAAAUCCCUCAUCCUUCCCUCGUCUCAGGGAUCUGCCAGCACUUUCCUUCCGGACCUCAGCAUCUCAGCUGGGCACCACAGUAGUCCCGCAGCUGUUUUCAUGGGAUUCGUUUCUCCCACUCUCAAUCUGUCCUCUACGGAAUCAUCAGAAAGCCCUUUCUAAAACCACCUGGGACACAUCACUCCAUCCUUAAAGCACCUCAAGCGUUUCCAGACCCUGAAGAAAACCUCUCUUCGGCUUCUCUGAUACCUUAGGACACAUUUUGCUAACGGAUGCACAAAAUAAAUGGAGAUGAACCACAGAUGUUCCCAGAUACAGUUCAGCGCCCCGGCAGUUGGAAGGCGUGAUGCUGAAUGCAGUUCCCGGUGAAGGAGCUGGGUGGCACUAUCUUCCCCGCUGGGGGGGAGUGCUGUCUCUGAAAUGGCUCACGGCAGAGCAUACCUCGAAAGCUGUCACUUUCUGCCUUUUUGUUGUGGUUGCUGUUGCCGAUUUCGUAAAAGCGAAAGCCUUUUAAGAUUUCUUUCAGUUAGUAAACACAGGUAGGUCUUUCGUAAAAGUCAAGCGGCAUAACGUAAACUUUCGCAAAGCUGGGGAUACCUGUAUAUUUAAAAGGAGAAGAAAAGAAAUGAUAUUAAGCAGCGCCCAAAAUAAAUGUAAAGGUGAAUGUAAGACCUGCAAAUACAAGGCAGGGAAAAGAAACUCUUUCUCCAGCUGAGAACAAUCUAAGCGAAGUCCUUUAAUUAUUGCCAUCUGGAGUGAAGGUGAGCGCCAUUUGGCUUGGAGCUCAUUCGUUCGCCAUCCCGCCUGGCUUGAGCUGCCUUCCACAGUCCUAUGUCCAGACUCCUUCGAGUAAUUUAGUAAAUGUGCCCGGUACACCACGGGCUCUCGGUCUAGCUCAAAAUGGAGUCCGAGGUAGGGAGGUUGGGAAAUUAUCCCACUUUACAGAUAAGGAGACAGGCUGGGUAGGAGUCCAACAACUUGCCCAAGGCCACAAAGCGCAAAGUCACAGAGUCAGGGCUAGAAUUCGAAUCAGCGUCUACAUUCCAUACCGUAAGCUGCCCUCAUCUUCUGGGUGCCUUUGGCCUUUCUCCUGAUUCAUUCCCAGAAAGCUUCCUCCCCUGCAAGGGACCGAGAGUUCAUGCGCCCUGAUGUAGAGUGAUAUGACAUCCAGGAAAAGGGAAACAAAGCAAAAACAUGGAGUGCGGAAAGAGGACAGCACCUUUGACGGUUUGCUGUGGUCGAGUUUUCAAGAGUAAAGAAUACACAGAGGGAAGCCUUUGGCCUGGACUGUGACAAGACCCAAAAUUGGGGAGUUUGCCUGGUCUCCUCCGAAAAGGCAACGGGUGUCUGUCUCCUUAGGAGAUGCAAAGACCUGUCUCACUGGCUCCUCCCAGAGGUAGAUUUAUAACCAGGUGCAGAGCAAGCAUUUUGGGGACACUGUUACUCGGUUAGCAGCAGUUGUAUGGAAUCCUAUGAUAGUGAGGCAUCCUUAAGCCCACGGAUGGUG